rnacentral:lncRNA from 1 species
ACAUCAGCAGCCCAGGACCACUAGGGAACCAAGAAAUAGGGUUCAUUCCUUUGUUGAUUUAAUUUUACAUUUAUUAAGCACUUUCUAUUGGCCCUGGGUCUGAUUGGUUUAUCAAAGGGACAGAAAAUAGAGGAUAAUGUUGGGUAUGUAGACUCCGGAGUCAGGCCUCUUGGUUGAAGUCUGGUUCCAUCAUUUACAUGCUAUUGACCUUGAUAAACUUGCUUUCCUUCUUUGUGCCCCAGUUGUCUUAUUUGUAAGAUGGGGAUAUAAAGAUUAUACCUACUUCCUGAGAUUAUUGUGAAGACUAAGUGUUCUGAUAUAUGCAAAAGCUCUUUCAGCAUCAUCCUAGCACACUGUAAUGCUCCCUAAAUGUUAGUCUGAAUGUUGUGUGGUCCCUCCGAAUUUGUAUGCUGAAAACAUAAUGCCCAAGGGGACGGUGAUGAGAGAUGGGUCCUUUGGGAGGUGAUUAGGUCAUAAGGGCAGAAUGGGAGUAGUGUCCUUGUAAAAGAGCCCCCAGAAAGCUCUCUUUUGCUCCUUCUGCCAUGUGAAGUCGCAGCAAAAGGACAGCCACCUAUAAGGAAGCCUGCCUUCAUGAGACACUGAAUCUGUCAGCACCUCGAUCUGGGACUUCUCAGCCUUCAGAACUAUGAGAAAUAAAUGUUUGUUGGUGUAAGUCACCCAGUUUAUGACAGUUUUGCUAUAGCAACCUAAACGGACUAAGACAGCAUAGAGAAGCAAAACUAUUUCAUUAAUGUGAUGCCUGCAGUGUUGGGGGAAUGACGCCCUGGAUCCCAGGAGAGCACUGAAGAAGGGUCUGGAAGGUCUUGUGGACACGGUGGCGGCUGUACUGAUUCUUGAAGAAUGAUCAGGAAAGUGGACCCUGGAAUGUGGCUAAUCGCUGCUGGAGCCAAGGUUCCUACAAGCAAGAGGCAGGUCAAAUUACUUCAUCAUAAAAGGAGGCAGUUACUAACCGCCAUCCUCUCUCCUUGGAAACCCAGGAACCGCGACUGUGAACGGAAAAUUGUGGGUACUUGAGGCUCCUCUAUGCUGCUGUCACCCUCUCUCCUGGAGUCUUGUGGCCUCUCUCUUAGCAUCUCCCCUUCUCACUCCUGGCUGCCUUCCUUUAGUCGGGAUUCUGCUUCAUCAGAACUCUUUCUGGCCUGUGCAGUCAGAAUGGUUCCUUAGCACCCAAAUCUGCUUCCAGGCUUUCAGUCUCCAUUCUCACUAGCAGGUGCUUCAGUAUUUCAGUUGCUAUUUAAUUUUUUGACUUAUUAUUUUUGGCUGCACUGGGUCUGUGUUGCUAGAGGACUUUCUCUAGUUGCAGUGAGCAGGGCUGCUGUCUGGUUGUGGUGCUUGAAUUUCUCAUUGUGGUAUCUUCUCUUGUUGCAGAGCUUGGGCUUGAGAGCAUGUAUUUGUGGCCCACAGGCCUAGUUACUCUCCAGCAUGUGGAAUCAUCCCAGACC